rnacentral:lncRNA from 1 species
GAAAAUUCUCACGACACCAACCGUGUGAAAAAGAUGAUGUAAUUAACAGCCAGUGUUUACUUUUUUAUUUGGGGCUAUGGCAGUCAAUUGAAAACAGUAUUACUGAUUUUCUUCUCAACUUACCAUCACAUACUUUGAAUAUGGGGCUAUGACAAUCAAUUGCAAAUUAGUCUGACAUAAUGUAUCUUAUCUCACCACCGCUACUCAGGGGCGUUGUCAACAGUGCGCACCUCAUCUCUGCUGUAACAUCCAAACUGGAUUGAUAUUUGGUUAUAAUGCAGAUAAAAGUACUGAUUCCAGCUUUAUUGCGCUUUGAAAACAACUAGAAACUCUGAAAAAAUAUGGGACUUUCCACACCUGAUUUACAAGGAUGCUGUCAAGGAGAAGGUGAACUGUCAGCAAGCAGGCGGGGAGCGGGAAAGACAGAGGCAGAGAGAGAGAGGACCCCAAAUUACAGGAAGAGCAAUGGAAAGACAAAAAGGGAGAGAACGUGAGUGCGCACACAAGAGAGAACAGAGCGCACUUUACUCCACUCACAUAUGGCGGGGCUUUGCUUUUGUAGCCCUGCAAAAAUAAACACAGGAGAGGCUACAGCUGGGGGGGAGAGGAGAGGGGCCAGCGAGCCGCUUGCUUACCGAGCCCCCCGUUCGCUAAACAAUGGAUCAGAUGAAGCAGGCCCCUUUUGCAGUGCUAGACACGGCCCAGAAAUGCCUUUCUUCUUUACGAUUAGAUCUCCCUACUCCAAAUAUUUACUCUACAGAAACGCACAAUUUUCCAUUGCAUUUGUUCUGUUUGAAAGGAGACCUCCCUC